rnacentral:rRNA from 1 species
AUAGCUGGUUCUCUCCGAAAUAGCUUUAGGGCUAGCCUCAAGUGAUGAUUAUUGGAGGUAGAGCACUGUUUGGACGAGGGGCCCCUCUCGGGUUACCGAAUUCAGACAAACUCCGAAUGCCAAUUAAUUUAACUUGGGAGUCAGAACAUGGGUGAUAAGGUCCGUGUUCGAAAGGGAAACAGCCCAGACCACCAGCUAAGGUCCCAAAAUAUAUGUUAAGUGGAAAAGGAUGUGGCGUUGCCCAGACAACUAGGAUGUUGGCUUAGAAGCAGCCAUCAUUUAAAGAGUGCGUAAUAGCUCACUAGUCGAGUGACACUGCGCCGAAAAUGUACCGGGGCUAAACAUAUUACCGAAGCUGUGGAUUGUCCUUUGGACAAUGGUAGGAGAGCGUUCUAAGGGCGUUGAAGCAUGAUCGUAAGGACAUGUGGAGCGCUUAGAAGUGAGAAUGCCGGUGUGAGUAGCGAAAGACGGGUGAGAAUCCCGUCCACCGAUUGACUAAGGUUUCCAGAGGAAGGCUCGUCCGCUCUGGGUUAGUCGGGUCCUAAGCUGAGGCCGACAGGCGUAGGCGAUGGAUAACAGGUUGAUAUUCCUGUACCACCUAUAAUCGUUUUAAUCGAUGGGGGGACGCAGUAGGAUAGGCGAAGCGUGCGAUUGGAUUGCACGUCUAAGCAGUAAGGCUGAGUAUUAGGCAAAUCCGGUACUCGUUAAGGCUGAGCUGUGAUGGGGAGAAGACAUUGAGUCUUCGAGUCGUUGAUUUCACACUGCCGAGAAAAGCCUCUAGAUAGAAAAUAGGUGCCCGUACCGCAAACCGACACAGGUAGUCAAGAUGAGAAUUCUAAGGUGAGCGAGCGAACUCUCGUUAAGGAACUCGGCAAAAUGACCCCGUAAAUCGGGAGAAGGGGUGCUCUUUAGGGUUAACGCCCAGAAGAGCCGCAGUGAAUAGGCCCAAGCGACUGUUUAUCAAAAACACAGGUCUCUGCUAAACCGUAAGGUGAUGUAUAGGGGCUGACGCCUGCCCGGUGCUGGAAGGUUAAGAGGAGUGGUUAGCUUCUGCGAAGCUACGAAUCGAAGCCCCAGUAAACGGCGGCCGUAACUAUAACGGUCCUAAGGUAGCGAAAUUCCUUGUCGGGUAAGUUCCGACCCGCACGAAAGGCGUAACGAUUUGGGCACUGUCUCAACGAGAGACUCGGUGAAAUCAUAGUACCUGUGAAGAUGCAGGUUACCCGCGACAGGACGGAAAGACCCCGUGGAGCUUUACUGUAGCCUGAUAUUGAAAUUCGGCACAGCUUGUACAGGAUAGGUAGGAGCCUUUGAAACGUGAGCGCUAGCUUACGUGGAGGCGCUGGUGGGAUACUACCCUAGCUGUGUUGGCUUUCUAACCCGCACCACUUAUCGUGGUGGGAGACAGUGUCAGGCGGGCAGUUUGACUGGGGCGGUCGCCUCCUAAAAGGUAACGGAGGCGCUCAAAGGUUCCCUCAGAAUGGUUGGAAAUCAUUCAUAGAGUGUAAAGGCAUAAGGGAGCUUGACUGCGAGACCUACAAGUCGAGCAGGGUCGAAAGACGGACUUAGUGAUCCGGUGGUUCCGCAUGGAAGGGCCAUCGCUCAACGGAUAAAAGCUACCCCGGGGAUAACAGGCUUAUCUCCCCCAAGAGUUCACAUCGACGGGGAGGUUUGGCACCUCGAUGUCGGCUCAUCGCAUCCUGGGGCUGUAGUCGGUCCCAAGGGUUGGGCUGUUCGCCCAUUAAAGCGGUACGCGAGCUGGGUUCAGAACGUCGUGAGACAGUUCGGUCCCUAUCCGUCGUGGGCGUAGGAAAUUUGAGAGGAGCUGUCCUUAGUACGAGAGGACCGGGAUGGACAUACCUCUGGUGUACCAGUUGUCGUGCCAACGGCAUAGCUGGGUAGCUAUGUGUGGACGGGAUAAGUGCUGAAAGCAUCUAAGCAUGAAGCCCCCCUCAAGAUGAGAUUUCCCAACUUCGGUUAUAAGAUCCCUCAAAGAUGAUGAGGUUAAUAGGUUCGAGGUGGAAGCAUGGUGACAUGUGGAGCUGACGAAUACUAAUCGAUCGAAGACUUAAUCAAAA